AGAGUUUGAUCCUGGCUCAGAACGAACGCUGGCGGCAUGCCUAAUACAUGCAAGUCGAACGAGAUCUUCGGAUCUAGUGGCGCACGGGUGCGUAACGCGUGGGAAUCUACCCUUGGGUUCGGAAUAACAUCGGGAAACUGAUGCUAAUACCGGAUGAUGACGUAAGUCCAAAGAUUUAUCGCCCAGGGAUGAGCCCGCGUAGGAUUAGCUUGUUGGUGAGGUAAAGGCUCACCAAGGCGACGAUCCUUAGCUGGUCUGAGAGGAUGAUCAGCCACACUGGGACUGAGACACGGCCCAGACUCCUACGGGAGGCAGCAGUAGGGAAUAUUGGACAAUGGGGGCAACCCUGAUCCAGCAAUGCCGCGUGAGUGAUGAAGGCCUUAGGGUUGUAAAG
rnacentral:rRNA from 1 species